rnacentral:lncRNA from 1 species
UGAUUUAUUGAUCGUGUUCUUUAGAUUUUUACGAGUAGGUUUCGAUAUUGGUCACAGCCCAUUCAUUCCACUUCUUGCUGGAUCUUGGUGGAAACGGUUGUCUCAGGUCUACGAUAGAAAAAAUAGGCGCAUACAUUGUUGGAAAAAACAGUGCUUACAAGCCAGGCGCAUACAUUGUUGGAAAAAACAGUGCUUACAAGCCACUUAGGCACGCUUAGGUGCUAAGUAAUGGCUGAACGCCUCGCCUUGAGUGAAAGUCUAGGCAGGGCAAAUAAGAAAUUGCCUACACGAUCAAGCAUGACAUAUUGCAUUGAUAUGUCAAAUGGUAGUAGAUGAUAGUUCACUUAAUUAUAUGCCCUAAAUUAAUAUCAAUACACACAGAAUAACCAUACAUACACUCUGAUAAUAAAAACUGUCGCAAAGGCCAACAGCCUGCUUGGCUUGCGUUUUUUCCAACCUUGGGCACAUAUGUAGAUACUGGAUGUCAUGAAGCUGGAAGAACCAUCCAUUUCUGCAAAAAAGAAAAAAGAAACUGCCAAGAGUCAACCAAUAAGCAAAAAACUGGAACGUUAUUAUCAACACAGAUUACAUCAAUACCAGCUAGCUAUACGAAGGGGCGGGAUUGCAAUGCACACCAGAAAGUAUAAAAUACGUGAGUGCAAUGAAAACACGGUCUAUAGUCUGAAAAAAUGGUGUGCAGCUUGGAAGUAGAUAUGUUUUACUAGAAGGCUCCCUCUGAUGGCUGCUUAUUUGUUCUCAUCAAAAUUGCAAGAGAAUAAUUUAAUUUGAUUAAAGCUCAUUUGUUCCCACUACACAGUAGCAAUUUCCAGUUAAAAUAUGUCAGGCAUACCCUUGCCAUGGGCGUAAUUAAUCCAACAGCAGUUACACCACACAAUAGGCAAUUUUGAAGAAGGGAUUUACCCCCAAUGAAGAACUGAACCCUCUUUAUGUUAGUUGGCUGCAAUCAAUUUAUUCCAAUCAACCUGGAUACUACAAAAACAAGUAAGACUUGGUGCAAAAUUCAUGUGUUGGAACUGAUUUUGCCUUGUCGGUUGGUGGGUUACCUGGACCGUCGAUGGGCACUAAUACAUUCAAACCAUAGGCUGUCAGUAUUAUGCGCGUAACAACUUCACUAAUUAUUUCAAUGCCUAAGCUAAAGCAAUCUGUUUCUGGACAUAAAAAAUAAAAGUAGGCAGUAACCCUUAUGACUGAUUAGAGUAGCCAUGGUAAGCUAAAAAUGUUUUAGGUCUCCUAAUUUCAAACAUACAAAGACGGUCAAAUAUAGCACCGACGAUAGCAGCUAUUAGUGCAAAGACAUAGCAAUAGGUACAUGAUUUGAACCUAUUCCAAGCUAAAAAGAAAUAUAGUAUUCUAGAAGCUUGGAGGAAUUUUACAUAUGGCCAAAAUAUAUGUCAAGACACUUAUGGCUUCAAUGGUUCUAGGAUAUAAAAACAAAAAUGCAAAAAAANNNNNNNNNNNNNNNNNNNNNNNNNNNNNNNNNNNNNNNNNNNNNNNNNNNNNNNNNNNNNNNNNNNNNNNNNNNNNNNNNNNNNNNNNNNNNNNNNNNNNNNNNNNNNNNNNNNNNNNNNNNNNNNNNNNNNNNNNNNNNNNNNNNNNNNNNNNNNNNNNNNNNNNNNNNNNNNNNNNNNNNNNNNNNNNNNNNNNNNNNNNNNNNNNNNNNNNNNNNNNNNNNNNNNNNNNNNNNNNNNNNNNNNNNNNNNNNNNNNNNNNNNNNNNNNNNNNNNNNNNNNNNNNNNNNNNNNNNNNNNNNNNNNNNNNNNNNNNNNNNNNNNNNNNNNNNNNNNNNNNNNNNNNNNNNNNNNNNNNNNNNNNNNNNNNNNNNNNNNNNNNNNNNNNAAGAAACUGCCAAGAGUCAACCAAUAAGCAAAAAACUGGAACGUUAUUAUCAACACAGAUUACAUCAAUACCAGCUAGCUAUACGAAGGGGCGGGAUUGCAAUGCACACCAGAAAGUAUAAAAUACGUGAGUGCAAUGAAAACACGGUCUAUAGUCUGAAAAAAUGGUGUGCAGCUUGGAAGUAGAUAUGUUUUACUAGAAGGCUCCCUCUGAUGGCUGCUUAUUUGUUCUCAUCAAAAUUGCAAGAGAAUAAUUUAAUUUGAUUAAAGCUCAUUUGUUCCCACUACACAGUAGCAAUUUCCAGUUAAAAUAUGUCAGGCAUACCCUUGCCAUGGGCGUAAUUAAUCCAACAGCAGUUACACCACACAAUAGGCAAUUUUGAAGAAGGGAUUUACCCCCAAUGAAGAACUGAACCCUCUUUAUGUUAGUUGGCUGCAAUCAAUUUAUUCCAAUCAACCUGGAUACUACAAAAACAAGUAAGACUUGGUGCAAAAUUCAUGUGUUGGAACUGAUUUUGCCUUGUCGGUUGGUGGGUUACCUGGACCGUCGAUGGGCACUAAUACAUUCAAACCAUAGGCUGUCAGUAUUAUGCGCGUAACAACUUCACUAAUUAUUUCAAUGCCUAAGCUAAAGCAAUCUGUUUCUGGACAUAAAAAAUAAAAGUAGGCAGUAACCCUUAUGACUGAUUAGAGUAGCCAUGGUAAGCUAAAAAUGUUUUAGGUCUCCUAAUUUCAAACAUACAAAGACGGUCAAAUAUAGCACCGACGAUAGCAGCUAUUAGUGCAAAGACAUAGCAAUAGGUACAUGAUUUGAACCUAUUCCAAGCUAAAAAGAAAUAUAGUAUUCUAGAAGCUUGGAGGAAUUUUACAUAUGGCCAAAAUAUAUGUCAAGACACUUAUGGCUUCAAUGGUUCUAGGAUAUAAAAACAAAAAUGCAAAAAAAAAAUAGUUUCUAAAAUUACAGCUCAAGAACAAGCUGAUUAAAAUCUAGAGGCAUUAACAUACCAAGGCAAGCAAAUUUGCUGAAAUGAGAGCUUAUUUAUUGCCUCAAACUGAAUGGGGUUUCGCAUACUUUAGUUGAGCUAUCCAUUCACAAUUUAAAUCCUCAACAAAUUUCAAACUCAAAACUAUGAAUGGAAAGCGCAUACCCAAAAAUAACCCAGUAUGGAAUAUUCAACCUUUAAACUCUCACCUUACAUAUGACUGUCAUAUCCUGCUAGUGGGCCUGCCAGAUUCACUCCAUGAACCUGCAUUUAUAUCAUCAUGCAAAUGAAAUCAGACAAAAGAUGGGCGCAAGAGAUAAAGUAAAGCAUCCUUUGUGCCAUCAUAACAAGGGCUUCUUGUAAUGCCUGAUGCAAGAUAACUCCCGUAAGCAUAUAAUUUAAUUUAUAGAGCUGCGUGGGUACAUUAAGAUUCAACUUACUACCAGAUCUCCCCACAUAAAAGGGAACCAAUUUAUUAAAAUCACAUGGCAAAUCUUAAAUGAGCCCAUGUGGAAGACGCAGACAUUUCUUGCAAGGCAAGGGAUUGUAGUCCAAUGAGAGCACUAUGAUUGCAGAGAUACUUUACAACAUGAAGGUAGAUUAAAGAUUGAAUGAAACGGUAAGUAGAAAUCAUUGCUAAUGCAACUCCCUGUGUAGUCAGACAUCGAAGGAACAGCUGCAGAGAGCUAAGAAAAAGUCACAACUUGUUGUUUGGUAGAUUCAGGAUCGAUUCAUACCAACCAGCUAUAAGCAUGGCAAUUGGCAAGGAAGAUAUCAAUAUACAAAUGUAAGCAAACUGACUCUUCAGUUCAAACUACAUCAAUGGAUAGCAUUCAGAAGAGCGUACAAAAUUAAUAAAAAGUAGUGCAACCAUGAAUUCACGUGGAAAAACUUGUGCACUUCAGUUUAUAGCUUCCUAGCUUCCAUGCUCUUGUGCCCCAGAAAGGGCAUUGCAGUCACUGCAUGCAGAAAGCAAUCAUAGUGUCAGUACUAAAUGGUAGUGUGGAAACCAGAGCCCUAUCGAGAAAGAGCAGACCUGUCAUUUGGCCUGAAACUCUAAUAAUUAAAAAUGGAUUGCCAGGAUAUGAACUCACAAUAUUUUUGGAUCAACCGACACGAGUGUUGAAAGCAUCUUCAUGGAAGUAUUUUUUUUCUCGAUUUCUAGAUCAGUUGCAGAGUAUAUGUGCUACUCACUACUCUCAAUGUAAACAAUAUUUCUCAGUAUGUGUCGGUUUACAGAAACUGAAACUGUAGCUGUCACUACAGGGCUAUUAAGCAUGUUCUGUGCUACUCACUACAGGGCUAUUAAUCAUGUUCUGUGUUACUCACUACAGGGCUAUUAAGCAUGUCCUGUGCUACUCCUAGGAACUGCUGACAAAUUGUAGCAAAUUUAUCGUUCUUCCUGCAAUAUAAACAAGAUAAACCAAAUUUACCUUUUUUCCUGCAUUAGUUGCAUAACCUUUUCUCUUCCUGUUUCAGGAUGUGCUUGUCUUGGAUAUUGGGGGCCAACCUGAAGCGGUGCAAGCUAACUUCAAGACAUAUACCUACAAGGCCAGAGAAUGGUGCUACAGGAAUGGCGUUCGAGUUGAUGCUACCAAGAUUUGCGGGAGAAAGAAACAUGUCUUCACGACCCCACUGAAAAAAACACUCUACACGAUUGUUAAGAACGGAGAUAAUACUAUAACAUUUAUAAAACAAGGUAGGCAUUGGUGGGAAAAGGGAUACUGCACUGGUGGCAAGGCAUAUGAGAUGAUGCCAGAUAAAGGAUGCAAAAAUUACAUGGAAUGCGCAGACACGGAUCACAUUACACUGCCCUUCUAUGGAAACCACCGUUACAUCUCCAAUGGUGACCCUGGAGGGACACUUAUAGGUGUUCGCUAUCUGAGAAAAGCAUUCACCGCCAUACUUGAGGGCGAAGGGCGCGUAGAUCCCAAGUUUAUUGGCGUAUUUGUCUUGUAUCUCGCUGAAGCUCCGACUUUUGAGGUCAUAUUCCAGGCACUAUAUGAGAAUAUACCUAAUCCAAAUUCCUACCGCCUCGACUUCUUUGUUCCAUAUACCAACACACUCGUGCGCCGCUGGAACAAAUUGAGCAAAUAUGCAAUGAAGUAUAUGCACUGUCUACGAGAAGGCAAGGAGCUUCCAGAACUAGACGAGGAGGUUGCUUUGACUGAAUUAAGCUCCAUUCAAGAGGUUCUCAACCUGGUUAAGAUCCUUCAGUUGGAUGCCUAUAAUCAUGGCAUAUUUAUCCACGAGCCAACACAGAACCCGGACCCAGAGGUGUGGAGUGCAGUGGAUAAUGUAUCUGACCGCAAGAAGAAGUAUGAAAGAAGUCCAACUGCUCCUGAGAGUUAUGUUGCUCAGGUCGAUGAAAGCAUGUUCCAUAUGUUGAAUAUCAACGGGAAAGUGGAGAGCUUAUACAUUGACAAACCCCCCAAUUCAGCACUGAAACUGCGCCAAGGGCAUGGCUUGCUUUCAAACAAAGAAACGAGCUUUUCAAGAUCCAUUGCUAAAAGAAGGAUGAGCACAAGUGAAUCUGCUAACGAGGUGUGUACACAGUUAAACAAUACUUUAAUCCUCUGCAUAUCCAUAUUCUGAUCUUUUGGAACCUUGAAUUGCAGAUACUGGAUACACCAAAAGAUAAGCUGCUCCAGACCAGCAAGGUGAAAAUACCUCGUUUCAGCAUCAUAAAUACCUCACUGAAUGAGGACUUCCUUCUUAAAAGGAUUAGAUUGACAGCUCAAAGGCAGCAUCUAUUUGGUUACCAACCACAAGAGAAAAAGGUUUGAAAAAAAUUGUCUAGUUUGAAUGAUCUGCUAUUCACUUUAUAAUACCGUUGCACCUAUUAUUUGCAGGUUUGUUGUUUUGGAGGAACUACCCUGAGGAAUGCAAGUGAAAGGUUCAUAUCAAGCAGAAUAUUGACCAGAAGAAUGCUCGUGCUGAAACCACUGAUGCUCGGGAUGCACAUGCAGAACUGCCCACAGUGGCGAACAACAGUGCCAGCUAUCAAGGGCCAAGGACACGAUGCUAUCCAUCAGUUUAUUCCUCUAAGCCCGCACGGUCCUAGGCAAGGUUUCAUUGGAAGGUAUUCUCUCUUGCUCCAAAAUACCCAACUGUACACUAAAAUAAGCACCAAGACGGACAAAGUACCCAACUGCUUAUUCUUCUGUUCUCCAAUAUUAAAUUGUUGUGUUUUUCUGUAGCCAACCACUAACGUUCGUUAUGCAUUCCUCUAAUACGAUAAGAAUUUCAAUAUGAUGUCUAUGAUGGCCAUCAAUGUACUUCAUUGUAUUUAUGUUGGUAACUCUUUAGUACCAAAUAACUUGAAGCUAAUGUCGAAUGCUAAGCGUUGCGGUUUCCUUUUCAGGGUAACUUCCCUGAUCAGUAAGCUCAGGCAGAGUUGGAAGUCCUGAUGGUGGGGGUGUUGCAUGAACAUGUGCUAUUUCAGUGGUGCUGUUAACAUGAUGCUGGGAGCCUAUUGCUAUGGUGGUUGGCGUGAAGCCCGUGUUUGCCAUGUCUGAAUAUGUUCGCUAACCCCCAUCUAGGAUUUUGCUGUUUGUUGAUAGGUUAGCUUUAUUUUCGUGAUGUUUCUGCAUUCUCCAAAAUCAGGCAUUGUUGGUUUCUUGCGGAAAGAUGGGAAAUCUAUUGAUGACGUUCAUUAGCCGCCAUGUCAAGUAGAGAAUUAUCAUAUGCAAAACUAUUGUGAUAGGUGAUUCGAUUAAUUCUGCCAUGAUGAUUUCCAGUUUUCCACUAUCUGAAAGUGGGUUGUCAUGCCUGCAAUACAAGCCUUAGGAGCUAUAUUUUGCAGGAUGGUUGGUUGAUGAUGCCAAAGAGGAACAAGCAAAACAUCUUUUCAAUCUUCCAAAUGAAUCUAAGGUUCCAAAAUUUGAAAUGUCUUCCAAGCUUUGGACAUAAAAGUAUUUUGAACUUGAACUGACGAUUAAAUCUGAAAAAUACUAACAGAAGAAGCAAAAUCAUCAUAAUUUCACUGUGUUCUGAACUUAUGAUAUAGCUAAUCAUUGAUACUCGUUAGAGGUAUCUCUGACCAUUCUGCUCUUUUGAUACAUACUGGGUUUAUUAAGGCUGCAGCUGCCAGGCCUUUUAAGUUUUGAGCUUUACUGGCUUGUCAGGGGUGAGCUGCCGAAUGUAGUCUCUAUAAUAAUUUGGAAUUCUAUCGCUCCUAAAAAUAACAGCCUGGAUUGGUGGCAGGCUGUUAUGAGGAAGUUACGAAGCGGGCUUAAGGGUUGGGAUCUAAAUGUUGAGGGGAGUGAGUUACAAGAGAAAGAUAAGUUUUAUUAUUAAUGCUUCAGAUAUACUCCCUCCGUAAAGAAAUAUAAGAGCGUUUAGAUCACUAUACAAGUAGUGAUCUAAACACUCUUGUAUAGUGAUCUAAACGCUCUUAUAUUUCUUUACGGAUGGAGUAGUGAUCUAAACGCUCUUAUAUUUCUUUAUUAGUGAUCUAAAUGCUCUUGUAUAGUGAUCUAAACACUCUUGUAUUUCUUUACGGACGGAGUAGUGAUCUAAACGCUCUUAUAUUUCUUGAUGGAGGGAGUACUUGAUAAGAAGUGCGAGCUUGCUGUAGUCUCAGCAGCUAACUAUGAGACCCCCCCCCCUACGUACUAGCUUGCAAGAUGAAUUGAAUAAAAUCUUAGAGAGGAAGAAAUCAAAUGGUACCAGCCACAGGGCCGGAGGCUCAUGCGAACGAAGCCACGGGCACUAAACUGAGCAUCCAACAGUGCAGGGGUAAGUGGCAACGGCAGACACCUAGCAACGUCGACGGAAACGUGACGAAGACCACCAGAUCAUGCAAGCGAGAGGCACAGGUCCGGGUGCACGCGGCACCAGGACCAGCCUGAUCAUACAUCAAAAUUAGCUCCUGCCAAACGUCCCGGACAAGGAGAAAAAGAAAAGGAACUUGGUCAGUGAGAAUUUCAUAAAAGAAGAAAGCGGACCAAAACAAAGAUGCAUUCCUCUGACGAUAGAAGGUACCUGAGCAUGUGCUCAUCUGGUGAACAGAGGCAGGCCAAAGGAUGCUGCUGCCGGUGCCCCCGUCAAGACUCACACCUCACAGCAAUCGCAGCGACAGAGAGGGGCCGUUAUAGCAACCUGCGAAAAACAAAAUUGCAACCCUUAGGGAACGGUAGAGCAAGCAAACGACAGCCCAGAGACAGAUAAAAAAGCAAUCUUUUUGAGAAUGAAAAUAGCAAAGACGCUGCAGGGUGGAGGAGCCUGCAACCUGUCCGAUGAGAAUCGCCGGGAGAUCCGCCAGACGGGGCAGCAGCAGCCCAAAUCGAAGAGUAAUCGAUCGACGAGGGGCUGGGGAAAGAGGAGCCGCCGCAUCGGAAGAGGGGGAAAACAGGAUUUGAUGGGAGUUACUGCGACUAGGGACGAGGCCGAAACUUGCUGUGGAGCAAGGACGCGGAGCUGAGCUUCUGCCGGCCGGGGCGACCCAUCACCACUCACUACAUGCCCCUGGACCUGCCGGACGGGGCGACCCAUCACCACUCACUGCAUGCCCCUGGACCUGCCGGCCGCCGGCGCCGGGCACGACUACGCGAUAGGCGCCGCCGCGAGCUUCCGGUGGUGCAGGCG